rnacentral:rRNA from 1 species
UAGGGAAUCUUCCACAAUGGACGCAAGUCUGAUGGAGCAACGCCGCGUGAGUGAAGAAGGGUUUCGGCUCGUAAAACUCUGUUGUUAAAGAAGAACAUAUCUGAGAGUAACUGUUCAGGUAUUGACGGUAUUUAACCAGAAAGCCACGGCUAACUACGUGCGAG